ACCGACGAUGGCUGGUUUUUAAAUAGUCGCUGGCAAACAUUCGGGAAGCUCUGCUGAUCACACGCCACAGCUCCCAACGAACACUGAGGUCCCGGCGUGUAUGGACAUGUACUUUAAGCGGACACUUCAAAUCGAUCCAUCUGUGAAGAAGAUUUCUGAUAUCUACACUCGGUGUGUCCCAUCGUCUUACGUACUAUAAAGAGUUUUUUUCUUCCAGUCAUUUAUCUAUGCGGAAGGUUGGACCCUGCUUGUUUAGAUAUGGCUAGAUCUCCUUAAAGACACUGGACACCUUUGACAUGUACUUUUGGCGGACACUUCAAAUCGAUCCAUAUAGAAGAAGAUUUCUGAUGACUACGCCUAAGUGUGUUCCAUACGUAUACAGACAAUUGUACUUUUUGGUUGACACUUCAAAUCGAUCCAUGAAGAAGAUUUCUGGCAUCUUCAACCCAGUGUGUUCCUUCGUCUUAUUAUAUAAAGUAUGCUGUUGGAAGACCAUCAAAUAGAGCUACAAAGGGCUGACCUUCAAAAGUCAUGUGCUAUGUUUAAAGACACUUGGAAAUAGAUUUUUUUUUUCCUUCAAACAUUAGAGUAUAUGUUCCUGAACAA